UAUGAAUCGUGGUUCAUCCGAUAUAUACGAGGGAGUAAAACGCUACCGUCACCGUAAACGUUCGCCGUAUUCGUUUUCGUUUUCGUUGUCGCCGCUGAUUGUGUCGUCUUCAUUGUCAACUUCGCAUCUUCUCGAGUCGAGUCAAAUUCGAAUCGUGAAUAAUUUCUCGUCUCGGGGAUUAUACGAGCGUGUAUUCAAAAAAUUAAAUAAAAUAAAAAGAAAAAUGAAAUAAAUAAAAAGGAUUUAUCGUGUACUCAUGUCUUUUCAAAGUCCUUGUUAAAAAAUUGUAUCCGCUAAGAAGGAAUUCUCGAGAAAUCGAUGAAAAAGUGAGACAAAAUGAAUUAAACAAAAAAAAAAACACAACAAAAUGACCUCCCCCUUUGAUCCUGCGGCAUCAUUUUGAAACAAUUUUUUAAACAUUGUGCCACCUGACGACGACGACGUGCACACAUAAAAUAGAGAGCAACAAUCAACAACAUAGCAUCAGUUCAUGCAACCUGGUGGUUUUUAUAUGUACUAUAUGUUUGUAUGUUUGGCGUAUUAUUUGUCACCGUUAGUCAACGUGUAUCGGUGUGAAUGAGAAUUGGAACAAUAAUCCUGCUGCUCCUGCCAUCCAGUGCAGUAAAUAACGAAACGCGGAUAAACAUAUCCUUCGCGUGAAAUGGAAAAUAUUGUUUUGUGACCAACUUAUCGCACAUGAAAAAAUUUGUUCGGUCCUUUUGAGUGUUUUAUUUUAUUUUCGAUUGUCCUUUUUUUAUUCUUCGGGUUUUUGGGAGGUUUUUGUGGUUCGUUGUUCUGAACUUUUUGCAGUCACAAUCCUGAAAAAGCAUUACAAAAAAAUAUUAUAAAUUCGUUUAAAAAAAUAUGCAUGAACCUACACAGAUAUAAUAAUAAUUGUGUGUCGGUUGCACUCUUGUUUUGGUUUAUAUCCGUCGUCGUAGUGGGACUUCGAGCAUAUAGUAAAUAGUCCUUUUAGUCAACAUCCUCUAUUUGUUGGCUUGCAGUAUUUUAUCCUUUGGAUGUACAAAACAAACCCAAUUCAAAGGCAUAUUAUGGGACAGUGGAGAAUUGGAUUGUACCAAGGAAAUCCAGCGUAAGGAAAUACGAGGUAGUAUCCUUGAGCUUAAAAAAAAUAAAGGAUUUUUCCAAUCUGACUUCAACAAAAAAGGACCAAAAACGUGAAAAACAAAAAAAGUUGAAAUUCGGAAGAGAAAUGUAGAAAAUACGAAAAAUAUAAAUAAAAAAAAUAAAUUAAUUGAUGGAAGAAAAAAUAAAAUAAGUGAAUUAAAAAAAAUUAAAGUGCGGUGAAUGUGAGUGAAAAAGCAAUUAACGAACGUUUUUCAUGAAUUAUUUUUGUGAGUUUUUUUUUCUUUUGAUUUUGCAUAUUUUUUCAAUUUUUUGUGAGUCCGUCUGAGGAGAAAAGCAGCGUUUCUUUUUUUUUCAAUUAACUUUUCCCAACCAGACAUCGCGUCCAGGACUAACGCAAAAGCAACUGCGCCGCCAGUGAUCAAUUUUGUGUGUGGUAAGUGCAAGAAAAAUAUACAAACCAACAUUUUAAUUUUGUUUUUGUAGUUUUUUUGUCAGACAUGUUUUUAAAAUAAACUAUAUUUUA